rnacentral:rRNA from 1 species
AGCAGUAGCCACGGUAAUACGUAGGGUGCAAGCGUUAAUCGGAAUUACUGGGCGUAAAGCGUGCGUAGGCGGCUUCUUAAGUCGGAUGUGAAAUCCCUGAGCUUAACUUAGGAAUUGCAUUCGAUACUGGGAAGCUAGAGUAUGGGAGAGGAUGGUAGAAUUCCAGGUGUAGCGGUGAAAUGCGUAGAGAUCUGGAGGAAUACCGAUGGCGAAGGCAGCCAUCUGGCCUAAUACUGACGCUGAGGUACGAAAGCAUGGGGAGCAAACAGGAUUAGAUACCCCCGUAGUCCCUGUCUCUUAUAC